rnacentral:rRNA from 1 species
UACAGAGACUGCAAGCGUUUAUUCGGAUUCACUGGGCGUAAAGGGUGCGCAGGCGGUUGGGUGUGUCAGAUGUGAAAUCCCGAGGCUCAACCUCGGAACUGCGUCUGAAACUACUCGACUAGAGUACUGGAGAGGGUAACGGAAUUCACGGUGUAGCAGUGAAAUGCGUAGAUAUCGUGAGGAACACCAGAGGUGAAGGCGGUUACCUGGACAGUUACUGACGCUCAGGCACGAAAGCAUGGGGAGCAAAAGGG